rnacentral:rRNA from 1 species
CAGUAGCCACGGUAAUACAUAGGUGGCGAGCGUUGUCCGGAAUUAUUGGGCGUAAAGCGCGCGCAGGCGGAUCAGUUAGUCUGUCUUAAAAGUUCGGGGCUUAACCCCGUGAUGGGAUGGAAACUGCUGAUCUAGAGUAUCGGAGAGGAAAGUGGAAUUCCUAGUGUAGCGGUGAAAUGCGUAGAUAUUAGGAAGAACACCAGUGGCGAAGGCGACUUUCUGGACGAAAACUGACGCUGAGGCGCGAAAGCCAGGGGAGCGAACGGGAUUAGAUACCCCCGUAGUCCCUGUCUCUUAUACA